UUUAUUAGAGACAAGCAUACAUUUCCCUCUUCACUGUAACCCUUAAACAGAAAGCACCAGCAGCUGACGAGGAACAACACAUUUCACAGACUCUUACAAAAGUUCUCUACUUCGGGAUCAGAAUUGCUGAAGUCUCCCAAGUGCUUUUGAGUUGGAAGUUAGCAUCUUCACUAUUGCAUUUUGAGAAAUUACCACAUGAUGGGAAAAAGUCAUUAAUUUAAUUACAAUACCUCCUAUGGUGCUGCUUGCAAUCAAUGUUGUGUUUGUCAAAUUGUCCGUAGAAACUUUUUGCAAUUUGUGCAUUGGCACAUAUGACAUUUUAUGCAAAUACAAUAGCAAUAAACUGCUUACAAGUCAGCUACAGUGUUUCUAACAGAACAUUGAAUUCUCUUCAUUAAAUCUACUAAGCAAUGUAAUAUUUACUUCACAUACUGCUGCAGCAUUGUGUGUUGUUUUCUUGACAUCCACUAAUUAUUGCUAUUCAUGUGAAAUUAUUUCUUUUUAAAAUAUGUAAAUGUUUUGGUGUCACAUCUAAUACACUAAAAGGUUAAACAAUCGUAUUUUGUCAUAAACUGAGCUCAUUUUCACACACAUAUUAGAGCUUUUCUUACAUUUAAAGAUGGAAGUGGUCACAUAGUUUCAAAUGACACAGUGAAAUGUUUCAGAAAGUCAGACUUCAGUUUAUAGGCCAGUGCUGUAAAGGCAUUUCCUCCAAUGCUCUAAUAAAAAUUGAUAAAUAUAUAUUCUGGCGAUAUUGAUUGUCCAGCAGUAAAAAAAUCCAUUUAAUAACCAUUAUAUUCCUAUAUAGCAAUUAUAUGCAGAAGUAUAUGUAUAGUCAUUUCCAUAUUCAUUAAUAUUAUAAAAUCUAUUUUUAUAUUGAAAAUAUGUGAAUUAAAAUGUUCAUAAUGUUUGUAAAAGUUCACUAUUAAGUAUCAAGAAAAAAAAAAAAAAAAGAAGAAAAACAUAAAAUACCAGUUCAUAAAACUUACAGGCAACACAAAGGUUAUUGAAGAGCUAAACAGAGGUGGAAUACAGAGCAGACUAAUUUUUUGCUAAACAGGACACAGUUUCACAAGUACAAGGAAGCAAACACCUGGGAACCAAGUAUGCGAAUCUGUCACUCUGAGGGCUGGGCACUGCUUGUUGGAAAUCCAUGAUUCUGAACACAUCUGGUGAAACUGUGUUUAUAAACAACUAAACAUGGUCUCUCAGUUCGGAGUAUCAGCUAAAGCAUUUAACAAGAGACUUAAAUAAAUAAAUAGACAUGUCUGUUAGAAGGAUGAUUUUCCUUUGAAUCUAGAAUUUCCUAGAAUCUUUCCAUUGUAUGUUUUCUGGGUAAAUCUGCUCUGCAUAGUCGUCCCCUUCCAGUGUCUGUUUCUUUAUUAGCCAGCGAUAAUUUAGUAGCAAAUGAAUAGGUAACCAGCCACUGCAGACCAGGUAUUUCCUUUUUUUUUGAUAUGUUCCCAUCAGCCUGUCAUUCUGUCAGUCAGUGUGUCUCUGCCUGGGUAUACACAAUGGUAGGAUUCUAAUGGUAUAAGUAAUUUCAUGGGACUAUUUAAGUGCCUCUGGUCUGUUAACCAAGUGUUUUGUUUCUGUAUUUUAGCGUAUGAAUUCCAACAUAGUUUCACUUUAGGUUGUGAAAUCCUGCUUAGGAUUCCAAAGUAAUUUUUGGUAACACUUGAUUUAAUCCUUGCCAGUAUUUAUGAGUGGUGAGAAAAAUAAUUAUGAAAAACCUCACACAGAGAAGCUCCAAGCACAAGGAAGGAGCUAGGCGUGAUGUCAAGAAAAUGAAGGUAUUCUUGAUAUAGAAGUCGCUCAUUAUUUUUUGUUCUCCCAGAAAAUGAGUGGCCCUUAGGGACAUGAAUUCCAGGAAAACAAAUUUGGUUUUAUUUAGCAAGAUUUCUACAGAAUUAAAAAAUUGUGUUUGUCAGUUAAAUACUAAGGAGCCAGUUGGCAGAUUAGAGAAUUUUAGUGCCUGUUCUUUUUGUUUUUUUUUUUAUUUCAAACGUUUAAGAUAAAGCUUUGUUUAAUUUAACAAAUGUUUUGGAACAUCUUUAUUAAACAAACUAUUAGCAAAAAAUAACAGGUACUUAAGAGUCCCCAAAUCACUCUAUCUUGCAAAACUGCUGAGAGAGAAACUGUUUGGUUGAUUAUUAUGCUUCAGACAUAAAUUGUAUUGAGAUGUAUGGUUGUUCAUAGCUAGAUACAAUGCUGUAUGUAUUUCAAAAUACAUGCAGUUUUCAUUUCUUUACUAUUAUACUUUCUUUGCUUUACUUUCUUUAAUGAAUGAGGAUUAUUUCAAGAUUACUUAAGCUUUUAUACAUAAGUAACUUUACACUCCCAAAGGUGAAAAUUUGUAGACAGAAGCUCUUAUGGAUGUCUGUGUCUGAAUUUCCAUAAGACAUGAAUAGAAUAUGCAUGAAUAUGCACAUGCAUAGAAAUGAAUAUCACUUCUUUGCAGGAGGGCAAUGGAUUCAUUCCAUUAGCCCUCUCAAGCUGGAAGAAAGAGAAUGAUGAAAGUUGCUUCAGUCCUGAGGCUGCAGUAGCCACAGCAGCAGCUGUUACACAAUGUGCUCUAAGCAUGAAUGCAAUAGGUCAGGCACAGGGCUGACUAGUCCUUGGAUAGGCUGCAAAGUGUAAUGCCUCAGCACUUCAUGACUCUCAUGUGCCAAGGGCGCAUCUCCGCUUGAAUGUUGGACACGAGCUGAAGUCACUUAUGUCAGUGUUCUUGCCUCAUAUUGCACCAAUUCCUUAUGGAAACAUCUCCUCAACUGCACACUGUUCAUUUACAGAUUAUUGUUGCACAGCUCCAGGACAGACUGGCUGGAGGUAACUGCACAGCAAGUGUAUAAUGGAGAACUGACUGGUGAGACAAGGAAGGGAAAAAAGUAUUUCACUUCACUGUCACUCUUCCUUUCUCCUUUCGUCAUACUGUGCUCCAUUUAUCCAAUUUCCUUUCCCUGGAAUCCUAUGAUCUUAGCCAUUUUUACUGCCUAGGGAGGUAAAACACUGGAAACAGAUGCAUGACCUGGGUUAAAGCACAGGUCUCAGUCUCUGGAACUCCAUGAAUGAAAGCAAAGAUGAGGAAGCAGCACAGUAAAAUGUAUGGCAGCUAAAAGCUGGGUAGGAUAAAAGACAUAGCUGCAAUUCUAGCAAAAUGAUUGCUUGGUCUUAAACCUCUGGGAUCUUUUACAGAAUCCAGUUUAAGUUUAAAAAAAAAUCUAAUUAUGAGGCUCUUAACACUCAGCUCUAAACCAUGACAGCCAAAGUGCCUUUGCUGCCAUGUCACUAAUUGGUCAUUUGGAGCACUGGGGUUGCCAGGAUUGACACAGUGAAAAUGAAAGGCAAUUGGUGAGUCACUGAUAAUUAAGUAGGGAGAAACUAAAGGAAAACCUGUUUUGCCCCUGGUUUGGCAGUUUCAGAACAUUAGCCUGGCCCUGCAGCAGAAAGUAAAAGGCCACUCUGAGUCAGCAAUACUUUUUUGGUGUAUGUUUCCACAGAAACACAGUGCAAACAGAGAACUGUUAACAGAUGUGCUGAGCUGACUCAAGGAGACUUUGGCUCUCCAUGUAAACGCAAGACAGCAAUAUUUCAUCAUAUCGAAGAACUUUCAUUUCACACCUGACUGAAAGCCAAAAUAUGAAGUCCCAAACCAGAUGCCAUUUUUCGAUUAUGUCAGUCUGAGUAGUCAGUGUGCAAUAAAAUUGCCUGUGUCAGAAAUGGCUGUGCUACAUACGUUUAACUGGUGCUCAUCAAACAACUUUCUAGCCUGCCAUUGUGGCAUAGCAAAACUGAGAAGAAAUCAUUGGAAAGUGUGAAUCUGGUAAUCUGAGAACAUGCUGGCCUUAUUAGCUAUAAGAAAAAGACACUGAUCCCUGAGAAAUUUCUGCUAACUGUUAAACAUCACCAGACAUGACAGCCUUUCCUUGGCUCUGGGGUACUAUCCACGCUGUAAACUAUUUGCCUGAGGUUCUGCAGAUAAUGGAGAUGGAACAAACACUGCAGUAAAUGAACCUGUCUGUCUCACAGGGUGACCUCAGCCUGGAUCUCCACACAAAGUACAAGUGUUAUGGAAAUUACAUCUUGACACUUUGAUAUAAGAAACACUUCCACAAUAGUUGGAAUAUGUUAUCUAAAAUUAUUUAUCUUGGGUGGGAAAGAAACAAACAUACUAGUGGAGAAGUUAGUAGAAGAAUGACUGCACUUUUUCUCUUUAGUCAUUAGAUAAAUGCAUUUUAAAUGACAGCAUAAUGAAAAACAAACACUAGAUAACAGGUCAGGGACCACUUCUCAAAAAUACUUUUUGACAUAGGUAGUCUUCGCUCAUUCUAAGGUGUACCCCUGAAAAUCAGGGGUAAAUAGUGUAUAAAUAACAUUCCGGUUUGAAUUAAAAUAUAGCAUAGACAACAUUUUCCACAGUCGAAGUCUCAGUUCUGCUUCAGGGAAGACACGUUCAAGAGUUCCUCAAAUAAAACUUUCUCCGUUGCUCAUACUCAUGUGUAAAAAUUAAUGGAAAAUGUUCUUUCUCACCCUCACUAAUCCGCAUUUCCUGGAAGUCUGAUAACUAAUAAGGCACAUGCAGAAAUUCAUGAGCAAUGCCUGUGCACUCUAUCCCUGAGUCAAACUGCUAACCACACCUUAUUCCUCAGGGAGAAAAGGUGCUGAUUUUAAGGAUCAGGAUCCAAUUGACCCUUCUCUGGUUCACCAUCUGUAAUUAUCAGCUUGCUUUCACUCAGUUAACCAGACUCCAUCUACUCUUGUUGUUGCAAGAUAACAGACAUUCAGAAGCCAAGUGUGAGAAUUUCAAUGGUGCAGAAGACCCCGGGUUAUAAGGGUCUGAAAGCUGAGAGAAGACAAAGAAUUGCUCACUGGAUGUGGUGCAGGCAAACUACAGCAACCAGUAACUGAGUAAUUAAACUGGAGAGAAGGUUACAAGCACUUAGAUUGAAUUUCUUCCUUUUUGCAUUGGGAUCAUUGGGCCAGAGAGAGAGAAGCAAAACAUCAAAAGAACUAUGUCUCAUGAAAGCAACAAGAAGGCAGCAGUAGCUAUUUUGGUACAGUUUAGUUUAACUCUGAUCUAAAAACCACACUCAGUAUUCAGAUCUGAAUGCCAAAUGACUUUUUCUCUGGGACGUCUGCUGUACCGAGUCCUGUACAACCAACAGGGUUUAUUGAAAA